UUGAAUGUAGGAGAUUAUCAGUGACAGGAGACUGGGUUGUUGGGUUUCCAUGUAUUCCUUCACCGCGGGCAGUCCCUCUGUGGUCAAAGAUCACUCUCGUUCUGUAGCGGCGGAUGAGGGUGAUACAGUUUUGUAGGUUGCCAGAUGCUUCGGGAGCUGGCAAAUUCCUGCACUCAGCGUCACCCUGGGCUUGAAUUCCCAUGCUGAGGACUUUGCAGAUAUUUUUCACUAACGCUCUGAGAUUCUCUUCGGAACGCGAUCCAGAGAAACCAUUAUUUCAUUCUCCUUGAAUCUUGGAAAAAACAAGCUUUGCUGAAAAAUAGGCAAUGGAUGACAACUCUGCAUUUACAGAAACUUUACUAAAAAUUGUACACAAACAAAGACUGGCAAACAACAAUGUGCAAAAGAAAACAAGUUAAGCAAAAUAAUACUGAGAACGUGGCUUGCAAAGAGUCCUUGAAAGUGAGUCUGUGGGUCGUCGAUUCACUUCAGUGAUGAGGCAUUCACAGUAAAUACAAGAAACACAAUAGUAUCAAUGAAAGACCGUAUCCAACAGGAUGGACAAACAAUGCGCAAAAGACAACAAACUGCAGACCACCACCACAUUUGAUCAACUGGCAAUGAAGAUGUGUAUCUGCUCCAAGUGCGCAGUCAAAGUUCUUUGAUGCACCUCCUGAGCAUUAAUGAUCAAAUCCAGUCACUGUGGUGCAGGAGAAGAAGAGCCCUGAUCUCAAC